rnacentral:lncRNA from 1 species
UCAACACAUGCCCCUCAGUUUCAGAGUGAAACUUAUCUUUUGCUCCAAAAUUAUCUCAGACAUGAUUACCUUCCCUAGGAAACCGCUGAUCCUUACCAAUCACCGAGUAACAAAAUAUUUUCUAUUCGGAAAUCUCCUCAGUCAUGAUUGCCUGCAAAAGCAUCUGGGGGUAACAGCUCUUCGAGUUCUGUGUAGGUGGUGGAUGCGAUACCACAUUUACCCUCUCGGAUGAGUUUAUAAAUUUACAGCCGUCAUCUUCUUCAUCCCUACCGGUUCAUCUUCUCACACCACCAUACCUUACUUCCUCUUUCUUUUCGGGUGAAGGGCGACCGUCGAUGAACUUCGGCAACCAUCAGAGAUCUCUAGUGACCAUUGGUGAUUUGCUUGCUAAUCACUUCAGAUCCCAAACCAAUUCCAUGGCCACCCUUACUACCAUCCCCAAGGUACACCUCUCUACCUUCAUCGUCCUCCCUGUGCCCUUACUUUCCUUUCCUCACUUAGCCAUUUUCGCAUUUCUCAGGCCCUUAGAGAUAGAAUCACCAUCUCCAUAGCUG